rnacentral:tRNA from 2 species
GGCUCUGUGGCGCAAUGGUUGACGCGCUGGUUUUAGGUACCAGUUUCUUCGGAUGUGUGGGUUCGAAUCCCAUCAGAGCUAC